UGCCCAGCAACUCAUAUCCGUACCUCCUCGCGGUACUGGCCGGGGUACGAGCAAUAUUAGGGAAGAUCGGGUAACCAACUCCAAUGGGAACUUUGGUCGUAUGCUGAUAGGGAAGG
rnacentral:ribozyme from 1 species